rnacentral:rRNA from 1 species
GUAGGGUGCAAGCGUUAAUCGGAAUUACUGGGCGUAAAGCGUGCGCAGGCGGCUUUGCAAGACAGAUGUGAAAUCCCCGGGCUUAACCUGGGAACUGCAUUUGUGACUGCAUGGCUGGAGUGCGGCAGAGGGGGAUGGAAUUCCGCGUGUAGCAGUGAAAUGCGUAGAUAUGCGGAGGAACACCGAUGGCGAAGGCAAUCCCCUGGGCCUGCACUGACGCUCAUGCACGAAAGCGUGGGGAGCAAACAGGAUUAGAUACCCUGGUAGUCCACGCCCUAAACGAUGUCAACUGGUUGUUGGACGGCUUGCUGUUCAGUAUCGAAGCUAACGCGUGAAGUUGACCGCCUGGGGAGUACGGCCGCAAGGUUG